rnacentral:rRNA from 1 species
UACGUAGGGUGCAAGCGUUAAUCGGAAUUACUGGGCGUAAAGCGUGCGCAGGCGGUUAUGCAAGACAGAGGUGAAAUCCCCGGGCUCAACCUGGGAACUGCCUUUGUGACUGCAUAGCUAGGGUACGGUAGAGGGGGAUGGAAUUCCGCGUGUAGCAGUGAAAUGCGUAGAUAUGCGGAGGAACACCGAUGGCGAAGGCAAUCCCCUGGACCUGUACUGACGCUCAUGCACGAAAGCGUGGGGAGCAAACAGG